rnacentral:ncRNA from 1 species
ACAAAAGCUGAGAAGAUGUCAGUAGGCAGAUGAUCGGAUUACAGAGAGAAUGUAUGUUGGCUGAGAGUACAUUUAAGGAAAGACAUUUGCUGAAUUUCCCAUCGGAGCUGCUGUUUUGAACAGGGAAUGUACGGUUUGCAAUGCCGUACGGGUCCAGUAGAGACAGACGGGUCAUGCACGUUAUGCAUCAGAGUGUCCGAUGUAUGUCGGAAAGUCGGGUGGUACCGCGGAAUUAUUUCGUCCCUUUC